GAUGAAGAACGCAGCGAAAUGCGAUACUUGGUGUGAAUUGCAGAAUCCCGCGAAUCAUCGAGUUUUUGAACGCAAGUUGCGCCCGAAGCCAUUCGGCCGAGGGCACGUCUGCCUGGGUGUCACGCAUCGUUGCCCCCCCCAAACUUCGGUUCGGGCGGGGCAGAAGUUGGCCUCCCGUGCGUGCCUGCGCGUGCGGUUAGCCCAAAAGCGAGUCCUCGGCGACGAGCGCCACGAAAAUCGGUGGUUUUUUUGCCCUCGUUCCUCGUCGUGCGUGCCCCGUCGCCCGAACGCGCUCUUGCGACCUUCACGCGUCGCCUCGGUGGCGCUCCCAACGCGACCCCAGGUCAGGCGGGACUACCCGCUGAGUUUAAGCAUAUCAUAAGCGGAGGA
rnacentral:misc_RNA from 1 species